CAUCAAUCGUUCAUCACCAUCUCCACCUCACGGUGUGUACCCUCAAUCCCCGGAAUAGAACGAUCCCUAUUUAUUACGUACUACUAAUGACAUUUCAGGGUUAAAUUAUGCGCUUGCUUUUUAGCUGCAUCAAAAGGAUCCGGAUCCCAGCCACACUGCCCAUUCUCCAGUGUCAUCCUUCCAGCGAAAAAGUCUUAGCUUGUUAGGCCAUUCUCUUAACAAGUAUAAGGCAGAGAGCUAUAGGAAAUUUUUAGAGAAUUUGUGAUGAAAUAUAUAAAAAUGAAGGAGCUAGAGAAUGAAAGAACUUUCAACAUUUUUUGGGUUUUCAUAGAUAACUUGCUUGAUUAUUCACGUUUCAAGUGCACAUACUGCAUACCCAUUAGCUUGUUAAACGAAUGUUUGCCGAUUCGAAUUCCCGAAUACGGCGUUGUAUCGAAUGCCUUACAUAAGCACGUCGGCGUUCUCGCUGCUGCUUAUUCGAAUCCUCUUUCUCUUUUUUAUUUCUUUUGGUUACCUUCCUGCCUGGAAUUUUCCUUCCUGGCAUUCUGCUAAUGGGUUAUGGUUAUGUUAUGUAUGGUUUUGAGAUUUGGCUUAUGGAGUUCUGGUGUUGGAAUCUGGUUUUCUGUUCAUGCGCUAGUAAGGUUUGGCUGGCUUCUCAGUUGUUGGUUGCAGCUCUUGUGACGUUUCUGUGUCACGCGGUGGCUCGAUUGGUGGCGGCGACGGCACGAUCAAUCUCCUCUUCUGCUGGGCUUGCAUGUGGGUUGGUUGCCUUUGGGCUUGCUUCUUGUUGGAUUUUGUUGUUUGCUUCCUUGCUCAUGUACUUUUGGCCAUAGUUGGGUCUUUGUGUUGUAAGUUUGUGUUGAUACUUUGUGAGUUAACAAAAAGGAUCCUUUCACUGCCAAAAAAAAAAAAAACUUGCUUGAGACAAAAUUUCAA